GUCGGACGUGUUUCAAAGUUUAAUUGUUUAUGUUUAUAAAGCAAAUGGGUUAAUUGUAUGUACAAACCACUGUGAAGAUUCUGUCUCGAAUGUGGCUACAAUUACAAGAGAUAUAAAUAUCUUUGUGGCUGAAUCGUUAAAUCGUUUUAUUUUAUAAAGCGAACCAUGGGUUAUAAUUUGAAGGGUGUAAACGAAGUUAUCUUGUUACAACGGCCUGGGGAUUAUUCACAUACAUACGUACGCAGAGCGUUAUGGAAUGAUCCGACAUCAUUGGACCCGGAGGUGUAAUAAAUAUUAAAAUCAUCAUCAGACAAUGUUAAAUUGGAUUCCAUUUAUUAUCGAUCUCAACUAUGUGGGUCAUUCUUCUAAACUGUCUUGGUCAGUUAAGAUAAGUUGUUAUGAAUAGGGGUUUUUACGAAAUCAUGUUUUUACCCAACGAAGAAUGGUAAAUUAUUCGUAUGCCAUUUGCAGAAAUUAUUUCAUUUUAUAAAACUAAUUCCCAACAAAUAUUUGUUUAAUUAUUUCACCAAUAUUUAUUUAUCUCUUGUGCGAAAUAGGUUUAUUUUAAAAUAAAAAUAUUGAUAUGCAAAAAUUUUGCUCCCAAAGCAUUAUAGGGGUAUUACA